rnacentral:misc_RNA from 1 species
GUUUACUACUGCCCUACUUCUCCGCAUUAGCCAAAAAGCACUGCUCAAUAAGAUGGAUGCUCGUAGCCUUUCUAUGGAGAUGACUCCUAUAAUAAUGUGGCAAACUGGCAGGCGGCCAGAGUUCUAUCGGGAAUAUUGGGAUUAUCAUUCUAAAAGCUCUUCUGCAAAGUCCUUAAAUAAUACACCACCUACUUACAGUGCA